GCCGGGUGUGGUAGCGCGUGCCUGUAAUCCCAGCUACUCGGGAGGCUGAGGCAGGAGAAUCGCUUGAACCCGGGAGGUGGAGGUUGCAGUAAGCCCAUAUCGCGGCACUGUACUCCAGCCUGGGUCACAGAGUGAGACUCUGUCUCAA
ensembl:misc_RNA Metazoa_SRP Metazoan signal recognition particle RNA